rnacentral:rRNA from 1 species
UAACGAUGAAGAGUUUGAUCCUGGCUCAGGAUGAACGCUAGCGGCAGGCCUAACACAUGCAAGUCGAGGGGUAGAAAUAGCUUGCUAUUUUGAGACCGGCGCACGGGUGCGUAACGCGU